rnacentral:rRNA from 1 species
AACACAUGCAAGUCGAGCGGUAAGGCCCUUCGGGGUACACGAGCGGCGAACGGGUGAGUAACACGUGAGCAACCUCGCCCCUGACUCUGGGAUAAGCGGUGGAAACGCCGUCUAAUACCGGAUACGACCUUCCACCUCAUGGUGGAGGGUGGUAAAGUUUUUUCGGUCAGGGAUGGGCUCGCGGCCUAUCAGCUUGUUGGUGGGGUAACGGCCUACCAAGGCGAUUACGGGUAGCCGGCCUGAGAGGGCGACCGGCCACACUGGGACUGGGACACGGCCCAGACUCCUGCGGGAGGCAGCAGUGGGGAAUAUUGCGCAAUGGGCGAAAGCCUGACGCAGCGACGCCGCGUGGGGGAUGACGGCCUUCGGGUUGUAAACCUCUUUUACCACCAACGCAGGCUCCGGGUUCUCUCGGGGUUGACGGUAGGUGGGGAAUAAGGACCGGCUAACUACGUGCCAGCCGCAGC